GACGAAGGUGGCGAGCGUUGUUCGGAAUCACUGGGCGUAAAGCGCGCGUAGGCGGUGUCGUAAGUCGGGUGUGAAAUCCCUCGGCCUAACCGAGGAACUGCGCCCGAUACUGCGAUGCUUGAGGACCAGAGGGGUGCAUGGAAUUUCCGGUGGAGCGGUGAAAUGCGUUGAUAUCGGAAGGAACUCCGGCGGCGAAAGCGAUGCACUGGCUGGUUUCUGACGCUGAGGUGCGAAAGCCAGGGGAGCAAACGGG
rnacentral:rRNA from 1 species